AAAGGAUGUGGAGUUGCUGAGACAACCAGGAGGUUGGCUUAGAAGCAGCCACCCUUGAAAGAGUGCGUAAUAGCUCACUGGUCAAGUGAUUCCGCGCCGACAAUGUAGCGGGGCUCAAGCACACCGCCGAAGCCGCGGACCCAUGACGUUGUUCCCUUCACCGUCCGGCUUGUCCGGGUGGUGGCAGGGGUUGUGGGUGGUAGGGGAGCGUCCUGCACCGGGGGAAGCCUGUGGGUGACUGCUGGUGGACGGUGCGGGAGUGAGAAUGCAGGCAUGAGUAGCGUGUGACGGGUGGGAAUCCCGUCCGCCGAUUAUCCAAGGGUUCCAGGGUCAAGUUUGUCUGCCCUGGGUGAGUCGGGUCCUAAGGCGAGGCCGACAGGCGUAGUCGAUGGGUAACCAGUUGAUAUUCUGGUACCGGCUUGUCACCGUCCGUGUCGAGGUGUGUGAUGCUAAGCAUGUGAGCUUGUCUUGGGAGUGUUUUUGAUGCUUCUGGGGUGGGUGAGUGUGUGAACCGAUCAUGUAGUAGGCAAGCUGCGGAGGGACGCAGUGAGGUAGCUCAUCCCCGGUGAUGGUUGUCCGGGGCUAAGUGUGUGGACUGUCUGGUAGGUAAAUCCGCUGGGCGUGAAGGUUGAGGCAUGAUGGGGAGCCCACGGUUGUGGGUGAGUGAGUGAUCCUGUACUGUCGAGAAAAGCUUCGUGAGCGAGGUGGCGGGUCCGCCCGUACCCUAAACCGACACUGGUGGAUAGGUAGAGUAUACCGAGGCGAUCGAGUGAAUCGUGGUGAAGGAACUCGGCAAAAUGCCCCCGUAACUUUGGGAUAAGGGGGACCUGA
rnacentral:rRNA from 1 species